UACAGAGGGUGCGAGCGUUGUUCGGAAUUAUUGGGCGUAAAGGGCGCGUAGGCGGCGCCACAAGUCACUUGUGAAAACUCUGGGCUCAACUCAGAGCCUGCAAGCGAAACUGUGGUGCUGGAGUAUGGGAGAGGAGCGCGGAAUUCCCGGUGUAGCGGUGAAAUGCGUAGAUAUCGGGAAGAACACCCGUGGCGAAGGCGGUUCUCUGGGACGGUACUGACGCUGAGACGCGAAAGCGUGGGGAGCGAACAGG
rnacentral:rRNA from 1 species